AGUGAACGCUGGCGGUAGGCCUAACACAUGCAAGUCGAACGGCAGCACAGUAAGAGCUUGCGCUUACGGGUGGCGAGUGGCGGACGGGUGAGGAAUACAUCGGAAUCUACUUUUUCGUGGGGGAUAACGUAGGGAAACUUACGCUAAUACCGCAUACGACCUACGGGUGAAAGCAGGGGAUCUUCGGACCUUGCGCGAUUGAAUGAGCCGAUGUCGGAUUAGCUAGUUGGCGGGGUAAAGGCCCACCAAGGCGACGAUCCGUAGCUGGUCUGAGAGGAUGAUCAGCCACCCUGGCACUGAGACACGGUCCCGACUCCUACGGUAGGCCGCAGUGGGGAAUAUUGGACGAUGGGCGCAAGCCUGAUCCAGCCAUACCGCGUGAGUGAUGAAGGCCUUCGGGUUGUAAAGCCCUUUUGUUGGGAAAGAAAAGCAGCAGGUUAAUACCCCGCUGUUCUGACGGUACCCAAAGAAUAAGCACCGGCUAACUUCGUG
rnacentral:rRNA from 1 species